UCGAGGAUAGCUCAGUGGUAGAGCAGGAUCUUGGAUCAUCCAGACGCGGGUUCGAUUCCCGUUCCACGAC
rnacentral:tRNA from 1 species